rnacentral:rRNA from 1 species
ACGAGCGCAACCCCUGUCCUUUGUUGCCAGCACGUAAUGGUGGGAACUCAAGGGAGACUGCCGGUGAUAAACCGGAGGAAGGUGGGGAUGACGUCAAGUCAUCAUGGCCCUUACGGCCAGGGCUACACACGUGCUACAAUGGCGCGUACAGAGGGCUGCAAGCUAGCGAUAGUGAGCGAAUCCCAAAAAGCGCGUCGUAGUCCGGAUCGGAGUCUGCAACUCGACUCCGUGAAGUCGGAAUCGCUAGUAAUCGCAAAUCAGAAUGUUGCGGUGAAUACGUUCCCGGGCCUUGUACACACCGCCCGUCACACCAUGGGAGUGGGUUGCACCAGAAGUAGAUAGCUUAA